UGGGGAAUAUUGCACAAUGGGGGAAACCCUGAUGCAGCGACGCCGCGUGAGCGAUGAAGGCUUUCGAGUCGUAAAGCUCUGUCCUAUGGGAAGAUAAUGACGGUACCAUAGAAGAAAGCCACGGCUAACUACGUGCCAGCAGCCGCGGUAAUACGUAGGGGGCUAGCGUUAUCCGGAUUUACUGGGCGUAAAGGGUGCGUAGGUGGUCUUUCAAGUCGGUGGUUAAAGGCUACGGCUCAACCGUAGUUAGCCUCCGAAACUGGAAGACUUGAGUGCAGGAGAGGAAAGUGGAAUUCCCAGUGUAGCGGUGAAAUGCGUAGAUAUUGGGAGGAACACCAGUAGCGAAGGCGGCUUUCUGGACUGCAACUGACACUGAGGCACGAAAGCGUGGGUAGCAAACAGG
rnacentral:rRNA from 1 species